UGGGCUGUUGAAACGACAGCAGGUCAAAAGCCCAUAGAUCUGAGGUCAGCUGUGUGGAGUCCCAGCCCGUCUCUCUGUCUUGAUGUUGUUCAACUUAAAGGAGCUCAAAGGCAACAUUAGGCUGGAACAGAACCGUGACUCCGGUGGUUAUUUCCAGCAUUCAGGCCUCACAGCUGUGAGGGGGACGAGGACAGGCUGUCUCUGUCUGUGGAAGGAGGCAAAGUUUAAAGUCGGCUCAGUGAAACACAGACCUGAGGUCAGUGAGGACAGCGGACAUGAAGCAGACAUGGAGACCUGCUGCUCUCUGCUGACAUGAUGGAGUCGCUUCAGUUUGUGGAGCAGGAGCUCAUCAGGAAAUUAAAGCUGACUGAACAUUU